rnacentral:rRNA from 1 species
GACGAACGCUGGUAGGGUGCCUAAUACAUGCACGUUGAGCGAAGCGGCGGAUGGGUGAGAAACGCGUGGGUAACCUGCCCUUAAGUCUGGGAUACCAUUUGGAAACAGUUGCUCAUACCGGAUACUCACGUCAGGUCCUGCGAUGAAUUAGCUCGUUAGUAAGGUAACGGCUUACUAAGGCGAUGAUGCAUAGCCGGGUUAAGAGACUGAUCAGCCACAUGGUGACUGGGACACGGCCCAAACUCCUACGGGAGGCAGCAGUAGUGAAUCUUCCACAAUGGACGAAAGUCUGAUGGAGCAACGCCGCGUGAGUGAAGAAGGUUUUCGGAGCGUAAAGCUCUGUUGUUGGUGAAGCGGUAAUCAACCAGAAAGUCACGGCUAACUACGUGCCAGCCGCCGCGGUAAUAC